AAAAUUAAAAUGAAAAGAAAAAUAAAGACUAAAAUAUUGAGAAAACCUAUUAUUAACCUAUUAUUUUUCUUUCUUUUUUUAUGCUUGAUUAUUUUAAGACAAUUCUUAAUUGGCCAUUAAUUUUCCCCAAAGAGUGAUUAGACUACUUUCAUGAUGUUUUAAUUGCAUCUCUCAUUCAAACUUCAACUAAUCCUGGCACAUUUACAAUGUUAUUUAAUGUUUAUUGUCCUUAUAAACAAACAAACAUGCCCACUGGUUUCAGUUUUUGCAAAUUAUAGGUUUUCUUAUGAACUUAUGUGUGCAUUGCAUCCCACAUCACAACACAUGCAAUUUGCCCGCAUGGACCAAACAUGCAGGAAUUCUGUUGUGUGUGCGUGUUUAUGAAUCUCUUCCAUUCGUGUAUACUGAGAUAACAUGUAUUUGAUUCUGUGGAGAUGUCCUCUGCGUGUUCACCUUCCUUUGACAUGCAGCUGUCUGGAGAUUUCAUAAGGCAAAGCCGACAGCUGCUGAAAGACAGUCGGACAUCAAAACAUUCCCGAAACAAUCUAAUUCCCUGAGUCUGACACUUACGUGAUGUGUAAAAUUCGUGUAAAACAGAGAAUGUGUGGGAUCAGCAUUACUUCUGGGAAUGCACACGUCUUUCAUCACAGCUGCCACAGGGAGCCCUGUAAUGACAAGCAACCCUGUCGCCUUGCAAAAGAUGGAUGUUUUUCCAUGAGGGUAAGAGCAGGCUUCCGGACGUGUUUUCAUUGUGUGCCUGUAAUGAAGCAAGGCUCGUCUUCUGGCCCUCGUUUUCUAAAACCUGUUUUUUUUUUGACAGAAGAAGACGUGACCUGUGGGAGGAUGUUGUCUCGAUUUCUCUGCUACUCGCUGAUGAUAACCGACUUCCACCACCCUUAAUAAGCUGGUGAAAUGUGUACGCUCAUUAUAACGAAUAUCCUGGGGUAGAUGUACAUUUCUGUCCAUGCUGUCUUCUGACUUUAGCGUAAUUAGCACCCAGUCGGUCUGAUCUGAUCUGAGAGCAGAGAGCAGGAGUCUGUAGAGAGCAGGUCAUUAUCAGAAGAAUAUCCUCGGGGAAAUCAGGCUUUGGUGAAGGGGAUUUUCUUUUCUGUCUUACCACUGUGCUUCUCAAAUGAAAUAGUAGGUUUACAAAAUGCCUCAAGUGUAAAAAACACCUUUUGAAAUUUAUGUGGUGGAAAUAUUUUUGACAUAUUAUUCUUGAAUUCCAAUCAGAGUAUGCAUCAUUUCAUCCAAACACUCACUGUAGUCAAAAUGUAUUCAUUUAGCAAUUAAAAAAAGCUGGAAAAACAUUAGUUAACAUGAAGUAAGAAUGAACAAUACUUCUGCAGCAUUUAUUAAUCUUAAUGUUAAUUUUAACAUUUACUAAUGCAUUAUUCAAAUCAAAAGUUGUGCUUGUUAAGGUUAGUUAAUGCACUGUGAACUAACAUGAACUAACAAUGAAAGGCUAGUUUCAUUAACUAACAUUAACAAAGAUUAAUAAAUGCUGUAAUAAAUGUAUUGUUCA
ensembl:lncRNA